ACACGGCCCAGACUCCUACGGGAGGCAGCAGUGGGGAAUAUUGCACAAUGGGCGAAAGCCUGAUGCAGCGACGCCGCGUGAGGGAUGACGGCCUUCGGGUUGUAAACCUCUUUCAGCAGGGAAGAAGCGAGAGUGACGGUACCUGCAGAAGAAGCGCCGGCUAACUACGUGCCAGCAGCCGCGGUAAUACGUAGGGCGCAAGCGUUGUCCGGAAUUAUUGGGCGUAAAGAGCUCGUAGGCGGCUUGUCACGUCGGUUGUGAAAGCCCGGGGCUUAACCCCGGGUCUGCAGUCGAUACGGGCAGGCUAGAGUUCGGUAGGGGAGAUCGGAAUUCCUGGUGUAGCGGUGAAAUGCGCAGAUAUCAGGAGGAACACCGGUGGCGAAGGCGGAUCUCUGGGCCGAUACUGACGCUGAGGAGCGAAAGCGUGGGGAGCGAACAGGAUUAGAUACCCUGGUAGUCCACGCCGUAAACGGUGGGCACUAGGUGUGGGCAACAUUCCACGUUGUCCGUGCCGCAGCUAACGCAUUAAGUGCCCCGCCUGGGGAGUACGGCCGCAAGGCUAAAACUCAAAGGAAUUGACGGGGGCCCGCACAAGCAGCGGAGC
rnacentral:rRNA from 1 species